rnacentral:rRNA from 1 species
UACAGAGGUCCCAAGCGUUGUUCGGAUUCACUGGGCGUAAAGGGUGCGUAGGUGGUGGGGUAAGUCGGAUGUGAAAGCUCGGAGCUCAACUCCGAAAUGGCAUUGGAAACUACCCUGCUAGAGGAUUGGAGGGGGGACUGGAAUACUUGGUGUAGCAGUGAAAUGCGUAGAUAUCAAGUGGAACACCAGUGGCGAAAGCGACUUCCUGGACCAAUACUGACGCUCAUGUGCGAAAGCGUGGGGAGCAAACAGG